AUCCAGCUGACGAGCCCGAAAUGGGACGAAACGAGAGUCCUGGAC
rnacentral:hammerhead_ribozyme from 1 species